UACGUAGGGGUCGAGCGUUGUCCGGAUUUACUGGGCGUACAGCGCGCGCAGGCGGACCGCGACGUGCCGUGUGACAAGCCACUGCUCACCAGUGGAGGGCCACGGUACACGAGCGGUCUGGAGGCAGGGAGAGGGAUGUGGAAUGCCCGGUGGAGCGGUGAAAUGCGUAGAGAUCGGGCGGAACACCAGCGGCGAAGGCGGCAUCCUGGUCCUGUACUGACGCUGAGGCGCGAGAGCGUGGGGAGCGAACUGG
rnacentral:rRNA from 1 species